GGGGAAGCAGAGGGGACGAUGAGGUGCGGAGGCGUUGGCAGUUGACUUUUGCUGAUGGAGCCUCUCUGAAGGGCAAAUUCAAAGUACAGCUGGGUGCUGCAGCACUGGAGUGCGAACUUGUGGCUGUGGUUAUGAAGGAGCCUCGUCAGCUAUGCCUUUAGCCCCUGGUGAAGCAGUGCCAGUCACACUUUGCCAGUCAAACGGAGAGGCAGCAGUAGUAAGACCAGACCAAAUCAAACCAAACCAAGCAAACCACGGGGAAUGGAGGUCAUGUGAGCACACAGCAUAAAGGCAGCUGCCCACAAGCCAGGAAGAGAAGCAUCAUCAGAAACCGACCAUACUGGCUUCCUGAUCUCAGACUUUCAGCCUCCAGAAUGGUGAGAAAUAAAUUUCUGUUGGUUAAGUCACCCAGUCUGUAUUUUGUUAUGGCAGCCCAAGGUGACAAAUAUUGUUUCUCCUUGAUGGCUGUGCAUUUGGAGGGAGCCUCUGUGAGCCCUGACUUUCCUCUAGGAGCAGGUUGGGUAGGAAAGUAACAUCGACCAGCUGAGUGUAGUUCAUACAGAUGUGGACCAGACAGGGCGUGAAAGGUGGAAGGAGAGGACUGGUCCCAAAGGCCAAACACCAAGACUGAAAGGCAAGCUUAGGAGAAAUCGACACUGUUAGGAGGAAUUGACAAAGUAAAUCUUAUGACAAAUUUCAAAAUUAAAAAAUUUAAAAA
ensembl:lncRNA SLC38A4-AS1 SLC38A4 antisense RNA 1